AAAAUGGAGAGUUUGAUCCUGGCUCAGGAUGAACGCUGGCGGCGUGCCUAAUACAUGCAAGUCGAGCGAUUCGGACGAGAAGCUUGCUUCUCUGAUGUUAGCGGCGGACGGGUGAGUAACACGUGGAUAACCUACCUAUAAGACUGGGAUAACUUCGGGAAACCGGAGCUAAUACCGGAUAAUAUUUUGAACCGCAUGGUUCAAAAGUGAAAGACGGUCUUGCUGUCACUUAUAGAUGGAUCCGCGCUGCAUUAGCUAGUUGGUAAGGUAACGGCUUACCAAGGCAACGAUACGUAGCCGACCUGAGAGGGUGAUCGGCCACACUGGAACUGAGACACGGUCCAGACUCCUACGGGAGGCAGCAGUAGGGAAUCUUCCGCAAUGGGCGAAAGCCUGACGGAGCAACGCCGCGUGAGUGAUGAAGGUCAACGGAUCGUAAAACUCUGUUAUUAGGGAAGAACAUAUGUGUAAGUAACUGUGCACAUCUUGACGGUACCUAAUCAGAAAGCCACGGCUAACUACGUGCCAGCAGCCGCGGUAAUACGUAGGUGGCAAGCGUUAUCCGGAAUUAUUGGGCGUAAAGCGCGCGUAGGCGGUUUUUUAAGUCUGAUGUGAAAGCCCACGGCUCAACCGUGGAGGGUCAUUGGAAACUGGAAAACUUGAGUGCAGAAGAGGAAAGUGGAAUUCCAUGUGUAGCGGUGAAAUGCGCAGAGAUAUGGAGGAACACCAGUGGCGAAGGCGACUUUCUGGUCUGUAACUGACGCUGAUGUGCGAAAGCGUGGGGAUCAAACAGGAUUAGAUACCCUGGUAGUCCACGCCGUAAACGAUGAGUGCUAAGUGUUAGGGGGUUUCCGCGGGUUAGUGCUGCAGCUAACGCAUUAAGCACUCCGCCUGGGGAGUACGACCGCAAGGUUGAAACUCAAAGGAAUUGACGGGGACCCGCACAAGCGGUGGAGCAUGUGGUUUAAUUCGAAGCAACGCGAAGAACCUUACCAAAUCAAGACAUCCUUUGACAACUCUAGAGAUAGAGCCUUCCCCUUCGGGGGACAAAGUGACAGGUGGUGCAUGGUUGUCGUCAGCUCGUGUCGUGAGAUGUUGGGUUAAGUCCCGCAACGAGCGCAACCCUUAAGCUUAGUUGCCAUCAUUA
rnacentral:rRNA from 1 species